AUUGAACGCUGGCGGCAUGCUUUACACAUGCAAGUCGAACGGUAACAGGCCUUCGGGCGCUGACGAGUGGCGAACGGGUGAGUAAUGCAUCGGAACGUGCCCAGUCGUGGGGGAUAACGCAGCGAAAGCUGUGCUAAUACCGCAUACGAUCUGCGGAUGAAAGCGGGGGACCUUCGGGCCUCGCGCGAUUGGAGCGGCCGAUGUCAGAUUAGGUAGUUGGUGGGGUAAAGGCUCACCAAGCCAACGAUCUGUAGCUGGUCUGAGAGGACGACCAGCCACACUGGGACUGAGACACGGCCCAGACUCCUACGGGAGGCCGCAGUGGGGAAUUUUGGACAAUGGGCGCAAGCCUGAUCCAGCAAUGCCGCGUGCAGGAAGAAGGCCUUCGGGUCGUAAACUGCUUUUGUACGGAACGAAACGGUCCGGGUUAAUACCCUGGGCUAAUGACGGUACCGUAAGAAUAAGCACCGGCUAACUACGUGCCAGCAGCCGCCGCCGUAA
rnacentral:rRNA from 1 species